GAUGAACGCUGGCGGCGUGCUUAAUACAUGCAAGUCGAACGAAAAGGUGAUGAGUUUGUGCCGCUCACGUGUGGCGCGGGCGGGGGAGAAACACGUGGAAAAUCCACCUGUAUUUCUGGUAAAACCUGGGGAAACCGGAUCAUAUACCGGAGGAUAUACUGCAGCACGUUGGUGAUUGGUAAAAUACGGUUUUUGUGGCUGUUAUAGAGGGUUCCCAGCUGCAUUAGCUAGUUGGUAAGGUAACGGGCUUCCAAGGGUACGAGGCGUAGCCGACCUGAGGGGGUGAUAGGCCACACUGGAACUGAGACACGGUCCAGACUCCUACGGGAGGCAGCAGUAGGGAAUCUUCCGCAAUGGGCGAAAGCCUGACGGAGCAACGCCGCGUGAGUGAUGAAGGUCUUCGGAUCGUAAAACUCUGUUAUUAGGGAAGAACAAAUGUGUAAGUAACUAUGCACGUCUUGACGGUACCUAAUCAGAAAGCCACGGCUAACUACGUG
rnacentral:rRNA from 1 species